UACGAGGGGUCCUAGCGUUGUUCGGAAUCAUUGGGCGUAAAGCGUCUGUAGGCGGCUUUGUAAGUCAGGUGUGAAAGCCCCGGGCUCAACCCGGGAAGUGCAUUUGAUACUGCAUAGCUUGAAUGUUGGAGAGGAUAGUAGAAUUCCGGGUGUAGUGGUGAAAUACGUAGAUAUCUGGAGGAAUACCGGUGGCGAAGGCGGCUAUCUGGCCAAACAUUGACGCUGAGAGACGAAAGCAUGGGGAUCAAACAGG
rnacentral:rRNA from 1 species